rnacentral:rRNA from 1 species
GUGGGGAAUAUUGCGCAAUGGGGGAAACCCUGACGCAGCGACGCCGUGUGAGGGAAGAAGGCUUUCGGGUCGUAAACCUCUGUCAGAAAGGAAGAACCUCCCAAGUCCGAAUAGGGCUUGGGACUGACGGUACUUUCAAAGGAAGCACCGGCUAACUCCGUGCCAGCAGCCGCGGUAAUACGGAGGGUGCAAGCGUUAAUCGGAAUCACUGGGCGUAAAGCGCGCGUAGGCCGCUUUGUAAGUCGGACGUGACAGCCCUCGGCUCAACCGGGGAAGUGCGUUAGAUACUGCGAGGCUUGAGUCCUGGAGAGGGUGGCGGAAUUCCGGGUGUAGGAGUGAAAUCCGUAGAUAUCCGGAGGAACACCGGUGGCGAAGGCGGCCACCUGGACAGGUACUGACACUGAGGUGCGAAAGCGUGGGUAGCGAACAGGAUUAGAUACCCGAGUAGUCC